rnacentral:rRNA from 1 species
GACGAACGCUGGCGGCGUGCCUAAUACAUGCAAGUAGAACGCUGACGGAGGAGCUUGCUUCUCUGGAUGAGUUGCGAACGGGUGAGUAACGCGUAGGUAACCUGCCUGGUAGCGUGGGUUAACUAUUGGAAACGAUAGCUAAUACCGCAUAAGAGUAGAUGUUGCAUGACAUUUGCUUAAAAGGUGCAAUUGCAUCACUACCAGAUGGACCUGCGUUGUAUUAGCUAGUUGGUGGGGUAACGGCUCACCAAGGCGACGGUACAUAGCCGACCUGAGAGGGUGGUCGGCCACCCUGGGACUGAGAAACGGCCCAGAAUCCUAACGGAGGCAGCCAGAGGGAAUCUUUGGCAAUGGACGGAAGGCUUACCGCGCAAAGCCGGGUGGGUGAAGGAGGUUGUCGGGUCGUAAAGCUCCGUUGUUAGAGAAGGAAGCGGGUGAGAGUGGAAAGUGCACACUGUGACGGUACCUGACGAGAAAGGGACGGCUAACUACGUG